AUUGAACGCUGGCGGCGUGCCUAACACAUGCAAGUCGAGCGGUAACAGGUGUAGCAAUACAUGCUGACGAGCGGCGAACGGGUGAGUAAUGCUUCGGAAUCUACCCAAUGGUGGGAAUAACCAGCCGAAAGGUUGGCUAAUACCGCAUACGUCCCACGGGAGAAAGCAGGGGAUCGCAAGACCUUGCGCCAAUGGAUGAGCCGAAGUCGGAUUAGCUAGUUGGAGGGUAACGGCCUACCAAGGCGACGAUCCGUAGCUGGUCUGAGAGGACGACCAGCCACACUGGGACUGAGACACGGCCCAGACUCCUACGGGAGGCAGCAGUGGGGAAUAUUGGACAAUGGGGGAAACCCGUGAUCCAGCGACGCCGCGUGUGUGAAGAAGGCCUGC
rnacentral:rRNA from 1 species